UACGGAGGGGACUAGCGUUGUUCGGAAUUACUGGGCGUAAAGCGCACGUAGGCGGAUUUGUAAGUCAGGGGUGAAAUCCCGGGGCUCAACCUCGGAACUGCCUUUGAUACUGCAAAUCUCGAGUCCGGAAGAGGUGAGUGGAAUUCCUAGUGUAGAGGUGAAAUUCGUAGAUAUUAGGAAGAACACCAGUGGCGAAGGCGGCUCACUGGUCCGGUACUGACGCUGAGGUGGACGAAAGCGGUGGGGAGCAAACAGG
rnacentral:rRNA from 1 species